UCCCUUUCACCGUCAUCCAUGAGAAGACACAGUGUUCCAUCCAGAGGAUGUAGCAUCAAGGCGUCAUCUUAAAAGCAGAGAAAAGACUCUUACUUGACACCAGAUGCCAGUGCAUUGAUCUUGGACUUCCCAGCCUCUAGAACUGUAAACAGCCCUGGGACAAAGAACAGACUACGGGUAUUGCCUUCUUAAUCAACAAUAAAGUAUUAGUUGGCUUCCAGGCAGACACCACUGACUUUCAAGAGAAAGGCACGGGAGUAAGGAAGUAAAGAAUUCAGAAUUCACUAUGGAGCUCAUACAACUACCACCUUCAGCUAUUAAUCAAGGAGUCAUUCAACUGAGAAAGGGGAGAUUGAGAUGUUGAAUCAUUUCUCAUUCUGUGAAGUCUACCAGAAUAACCCAUAAAGCAAAUAUCAACCUAUUUCAAUUAGAAAAAUGAAAAAUACUGAUACAGCAGACGAAUUCUGGAACUAACACUUCCACAAAUCAUUGAUAAUCCAUUUUCCAACUUCUUCAAAUUCCAGACCAUCAACAAGCUAUUCAAAACAAUAAAUGUUAAUAGUUUUGGUGGAGUUAAGCAGCAGAAGUUAAAAGCAUUGUGGAAGACAGUAUGGUGAUUCCUCAAGGAUCUAGAAGCGGAAAUACCAUUUGACCCAGCAAUC
rnacentral:lncRNA from 1 species